UGGCUCAGUAUUUGUCAGAGCCGCGGAGGAGCUUUUCAUGGAUACUGCUCCAACAAAGGCAUUUGCUGAAAGGAUACUUAGAAUGAGUUAUUGUAACAGCUGUUCUUGAUCCCCACCCUGACCCCCCUGCAGGUGCUGGGGAAGAAUUGCUUUGACUCGAAUGUGUAACAGAAUUAACAUUAUGAUUUUACAUUUUGGGAGCUGUUCUCAACUGCUCUUAGAAUUUUAUAUUGUACUAUUGUCAUUAGCUUUUUGGAAGCAGC